GUAUACAGCUUGACUCGGGCGAGCCUCCGCGCUCUUCCCGGGUCAACGCACCCCCCUUUGCAGCCAAAAGCAUCUUGGAACUUCCGAGCACGGAGCGAGCGAAGGCGUUUUCAACUCCAAGCGCGGAUUUGCUCGACGCAGCCCACCCAAGCCACACACACACGCACACACAAACACAAAAAAACGCCGGAGCGAGAGAGAGAGAGAGACAGAGAAGAGAGAAGGGGAAGAAGAAAAAGAAAAAAAAAGCUCCAAGAUGGAUUGGACUCGAUGAAAAUCCUGGUCGAAACUCACCAGACAUGACGACAGAGAUGAUGAGAAGUUUCCCUCCUCAAUGUCCCCUUUCUGCCUCAGCACAAAUGACCAAGAGCGAAAAUUGUGCAAAAGUCUCCAAAAAUGCCAACACAAAUCUGUUCGAGCUGCGUCAGAGCAUACAACAAUAUUGUAAUAUAGCUGGGAACAUAUUAGUUUGGGAUUUUCUCCCUCCAUGCCUACUAUUUAAAACCCCUAGAACUCAAUGAUUUGACAAUGAUUUGAUUGCGCGUUACUUUCGAUUUGAAUAUUCAGAGGCAAGCGAGUUUUAUCCAUUUUUCGGCAAAAUCCACUACAUUGGCACAUUAUAUAUGAAUCUUUUUAAUAUAUUAUGACUUGAUUUUCGAUUUUGAUCGCAAACAAAUGCUAUUUUUAUUCAUUUAGCCACCUUUUUGCCAGAUGACAGCAGCACACCCCCUCAUUAAGCACUACGGCAACAGUGCUUCUUGUGCGCAACUUAAACGGCGCAUCUCCACUUUAAGAGGUGAUCCCACAUUUACGGGGCUCACCCCACGCGUGGUCGACGCCAUCAGACAAAUUUAGGGCUUUAUUAUUGAAGAAAAGCGGAUAAAAGUGGGACUCGGGUGGGCGUGGCAAAGGGCAGCAGCCAUCUUUGGAUCCACGGGCCUUCAGCAAGUGCACAAAGAGCAGAACGAAGUCCACCUGUGACAGCUGAAGGGUCCACACUCAAAUAUUUCAAACACACAUUUAUGCUCCUUGAUUAUUGUAUACCAUACAACUACUUUCACAUUCAAUUAUUCAAUAAAAAUAAAGCCUUGUUGACGAAAUCCA